rnacentral:rRNA from 1 species
GUGAGGGAAAGGCGAAAAGAACCCCGGCGAGGGGAGUGAAAAAGAACCUGAAACCGUGUACGUACAAGCAGUGGGAGCACAGAGCAAUCUGUGUGACUGCGUACCUUUUGUAUAAUGGGUCAGCGACUUAUAUUCUGUAGCAAGGUUAACCGAAUAGGGGAGCCGAAGGGAAACCGAGUCUUAACUGGGCGUUAAGUUGCAGGGUAUAGACCCGAAACCCGGUGAUCUAGCCAUGGGCAGGUUGAAGGUUGGGUAACACUAACUGGAGGACCGAACCGACUAAUGUUGAAAAAUUAGCGGAUGACUUGUGGCUGGGGGUGAAAGGCCAAUCAAACCGGGAGAUAGCUGGUUCUCCCCGAAAGCUAUUUAGGUAGCGCCUCGUGAAUUCAUCUCCGGGGGUAGAGCACUGUUUCGGCAAGGGGGUCAUCCCGACUUACCAACCCGAUGCAAACUGCGAAUACCGGAGAAUGUUAUCACGGGAGACACACGGCGGGUGCUAACGUCCGUCGUGAAGAGGGAAACAACCCAGACCGCCAGCUAAGGUCCCAAAGUCAUGGUUAAGUGGGAAACGAUGUGGGAAGGCCCAGACAGCCAGGAUGUUGGCUUAGAAGCAGCCAUCAUUUAAAGAAAGCGUAAUAGCUCACUGGUCGAGUCGGCCUGCGCGGAAGAUGUAACGGGGCUAAACCAUG